GACGAACGCUGGCGGCGUGCUUAACACAUGCAAGUCGAACGGAAAGGCCCUGCUUUUGUGGGGUGCUCGAGUGGCGAACGGGUGAGUAACACGUGAGUAACCUGCCCUUGACUUUGGGAUAACUUCAGGAAACUGGGGCUAAUACCGGCUAGGAGCUCCUGCUGCAUGGUGGGGGUUGGAAAGUUUCGGCGGUUGGGGAUGGACUCGCGGCUUAUCAGCUUGUUGGUGGGGUAGUGGCUUACCAAGGCUUUGACGGGUAGCCGGCCUGAGAGGGUGACCGGCCACAUUGGGACUGAGAUACGGCCCAGACUCCUACGGGAGGCAGAAGUGGGGAAUAUUGCACAAUGGGCGGAAGCCUGAUGCAGCAACUCCGCGUGCGGGAUGACGGCCUUCGGGUUGUAAACCGCUUUCGCCUGUGACGAAGCGUGAGUGACGGUAAUGGGUAAAGAAGCACCGGCUAACUACGUG
rnacentral:rRNA from 1 species